UACGGAGGGGGCUAGCGUUGUUCGGAAUUACUGGGCGUAAAGCGCACGUAGGCGGCUUUGUAAGUUAGAGGUGAAAGCCCCGGGCUCAACCUGGGAAUGGCAAUGGAUACUGGCGAGCUAGAGUGUGUCAGAGGAUGGUGGAAUUCCCGGUGUAGCGGUGAAAUGCGUAGAGAUCGGGAGGAACACCAGUGGCGAAGGCGGCUAUCUGGGCUGAAACUGA
rnacentral:rRNA from 1 species